GGUUGGUCUCCCCGGUGGCGAAAGGUUGUGAACCCGGUCAGGUCCGGAAGGAAGCAGCCGCAGCAGCCGUAUCGGGUGCCGGGGCCGGGCUAGCUCGA
rnacentral:SRP_RNA from 1 species